rnacentral:rRNA from 1 species
UACGUAGGGUGCGAGCGUUGUCCGGAAUUAUUGGGCGUAAAGAGCUUGUAGGCGGUUUGUCGCGUCUGCUGUGAAAUUUCGGGGCUCAACCCCGAACUUGCAGUGGGUACGGGCAGACUAGAGUCUGGUAGGGGGAUCUGGAAUUCCUGGUGUAGCGGUGGAAUGCGCAGAUAUCAGGAGGAACACCGGUGGCGAAGGCGGGAUCCUGGGCCAGUACUGACGCUGAGGAGCGAAAGCGUGGGGAGCAAACAGG